rnacentral:rRNA from 1 species
GAUGAACGCUGGCGGCGUGCCUAAUACAUGCAAGUCGAGCGAACGGACGAGAAGCUUGCUUCUCUGAUGUUAGCGGCGGACGGGUGAGUAACACGUGGAUAACCUACCUAUAAGACUGGGAUAACUUCGGGAAACCGGAGCUAAUACCGGAUAAUAUUUUGAACCGCAUGGUUCAAAAGUGAAAGACGGCCUUGCUGUCACUUAUAGAUGGAUCCGCGCUGCAUUAGCUAGUUGGUAAGGUAACGGCUUACCAAGGCAACGAUGCAUAGCCGACCUGAGAGGGUGAUCGGCCACACUGGAACUGAGACACGGUCCAGACUCCUACGGGAGGCAGCAGUAGGGAAUCUUCCGCAAUGGGCGAAAGCCUGACGGAGCAACGCCGCGUGAGUGAUGAAGGUCUUCGGAUCGUAAAACUCUGUUAUUAGGGAAGAACAUAUGUGUAAGUAACUGUGCAAAUCUUGACGGUACCUAAUCAGAAAGCCACGGCUAACUACGU